GGGGAUAUAGCUCAGUUGGUAGAGCGCCGCCCUUUGUGGCGGAUGUCAGCGGUUCGAAUCCGCUUAUCUCCA
rnacentral:tRNA from 1 species